UCACAACUCAAAACUGAAAAGGGUCCAUUUUUUUUCUCUGGGUUAACCCAAGUUCCGGCCAAGAAGCCGACGGGCCUCAGUCGCAGCGCCGUUGCGGCUCUGCCGCAACUCCACCGUAACUGAUGGUCGGAGUCGCGUAAAAAUAGCCUCUUCGGUCCCUCUCAUCUCCUCUUUUGUAUAUUUUUUUUUUAAAAAAAAACUUACAUAUCCUAUAUUUAUUUUUAGAAAAUAAAAUAAAUAAACAAAAGGGGGAUUCUUCAUGCCUUUCGAACCCUCACUCGAACACAGAUGGGUCUGAUGUGUUCAUGCGCCGGCGAUGGUCAUCAGAGGAAGGCCGAUCGACUCAGGUCUAUGAAGGGUCAAUUGACGAGGGAGUUUCCAUUUCCGUGCAAGAAGAGUCGACCCUCGGGCAAGGUGCGCGCUGAGGCACGUGGGUGGUGGCUGCGGCGCGAGGGAGGCUCAGAAAUCCUAGGGUUUCUGAGUUGGUUUAAUGUUUUAGGCCUAUGCGUUGAUUUGGGUCUGUUUUGUUUGGGUUAGGGUAGGUUGGGUUUUAGGUUUUUAAGCCUGUUGAGCCAUUGUAAAAAUUGACUGUUUAUUAUUAUUAUUAUAUUUUAAUUUUGGUUUCCGGUUUAUGGAACCUGGGCUAAA